AGCGAACGCUGGCGGCAGGCUUAACACAUGCAAGUCGAGCGCCCCGCAAGGGGAGCGGCAGACGGGAGAGUAACACGUGGGAACAUACCUUUUGGUUCGGAACAACUGAGGGAAACUUCAGCUAAUACCGGAUAAGCCCUUACGGGGAAGGAUUUAUCGCCGAAAGAUUGGCCCGCGUCUGAUUAGCUAGUUGGUGAGGUAACGUCUCACGAAGGCGACGAUCAGUAGCUGUUAUUAGAGGAUGAUCAGCCUCACUGGGACUGAGACACGGCACAGACUCCUACGGGAGGCAGCAGUGGGGAAUAUUGGACAAUGGGGGCAACCCUGAUCCAGCCAUGCCGCGUGAGUGAUGAAGGCCUUAGGGUUGUAAAGCUCUUUUGCCCGGGAAGAUAAUGACGGUACCGGGAGAAUAAGCCCCGGCUAACUUCGUG
rnacentral:rRNA from 1 species